GCCGGAAUCUGGCUGUUAGCGCAACCACUUGUGAAUCUCCAACACUCGGCUUUGUCCACGACUUUGUUGAAGAAUUGCAGGUGGUAGGUGCUUUCAAGCCGUAU
ensembl:miRNA cin-mir-1497 cin-mir-1497